UGAGCUCCCCCUGAGAUAAGCCUGGGAGUUCAGAAGUUCUUACCGGAGUUUCCAUGAUAUGAUGUUUCUAGAUACUCUUCUGCAAAUUUCUAAGUAAAAAAGGAUUAGAACCAUUUUAAAAUAAUGUAUGUAGAGUACUGAAGGAUUUAGAUAUGUUUUCAUCAGAGUUGUUUUUAUUUCUCCCUUUUUUUGUCAGAAUAAAAAAGACUUAGCAAAAUAAAGGA
rnacentral:lncRNA from 1 species